rnacentral:rRNA from 1 species
AUGAGGGUUGAUGACCUGAUUGCUCACCUUGAUGUGGAAGAGAAGGCACGUGCUAAAGACACACCUUCCAUGGCAAAUGACGGCACCUCAAACACCAACUUUGUGCAGAAAUCUGGUGCUAAGUACAAGGGCAAACAACAUAAUCCAAAGGCCAAGAAUACAACCAACUUUAAGAAGAAGAAGGAAGGCAUAAUCUGCUAUGUGUGUGGUGAGCCUGGCCACAAGGCCAAUAAAUGCCACAACAGGAAGGGCAAGAAGGGUGGGCAGCAGAACGGACAGAACACUGUCAACGUGGUUGUUAGCGAGCCUAGUACUGCGGGGCUACAAGCGGUUCCCCCAUCUUGA